UACGUAGGUGACAAGCGUUGUCCGGAUUUACUGGGCGUAAAGAGCGCGCAGGCGGUCGACCAAGUCGAGUGUGAAAGCCCCCGGCUCAACUGGGGAGGGUCAUUCGAUACUGAUCGACUCGAAGGCAGGAGAGGGUAGUGGAAUUCCCGGUGUAGUGGUGAAAUGCGCAGAUAUCAGGAGGAACACCAAUGGCGAAGGCAGCUCGCUGGGACGGUACUGACGCUGAGGCGCGAAAGCGUGGGGAGCAAACAGG
rnacentral:rRNA from 1 species